UGGAAGUGCUAUGGCACUGUGUCAAAGUGAAGUUUGCCAUCAUCUGAAUUACCCACUAGAGCUUUAAAUAGAGCUGCACAACUGAGCCAGCAACUGGGAAGCUUUCCCCAACCACUCUGAGCAUUACUCCUUGCUGCAGUGUGAUUCCUAAAACAUCGAGGCUUGGAGUAAUUGCCAUUGCACAUGUUGACUGCAAGUUUCUAUGGACUGAGUAUUUCUGCUUUAAUGUCAGCAAAGCCAAAGCCAAGUGGAUCUUUAAAUGUGAAAGAUCAGGAGGUUUGUUCCUCAAUUGAGAGCUGGAAGAAGCAAACCUGUGGGUCCUCCAAGCUGGCUGCUCGGGGCAAGUACCGGCUCUGCUCUUCGUCUCGGAUCAGCUGAAUGGCUGGGGCGUUCAGGAAGCUUGC